GACGAACGCUGGCGGCGUGCUUAACACAUGCAAGUCGAACGGAAAGGCCCUGCUUUUGUGGGGUGCUCGAGUGGCGAACGGGUGAGUAACACGUGAGUAACCUGCCCUUGACUUUGGGAUAACUUCAGGAAACUGGGGCUAAUACCGGAUAGGAGCUCCUGCUGCAUGGUGGGGGUUGGAAAGUUUCGGCGGUUGGGGAUGGACUCGCGGCUUAUCAGCUUGUUGGUGGGGUAGUGGCUUACCCAGGCUUUGACGGGUAGCCGGCCUGAGAGGGUGACCGGCCACAUUGGGACUGCGAUACGGCCCAGACUCCUACGGGAGGCAGCAGUGGGGAAUAUUGCACAAUGGGCGGAAGCCUGAUGCAGCAACGCCGCGUGCGGGAUGACGGCCUUCGGGUUGUAAACCGCUUUCGCCUGUGACGAAGCGUGAGUGACGGUAAUGGGUAAAGAAGCACCGGCUAACUACGUG
rnacentral:rRNA from 1 species